GGCUCGGCGGGCGCUGGGGCGUCGCGCUCUCGGGGGUCGUGGUCGCGCAACGGGCCACACAGCUCUGAAAAGUCUCCUAACGUGGGGCCACGCCACCGAAAGUCCUUCCUCAUGAAGAUAAGCACAAAGAUCAUGUUGACAAAACUGGAAGACAGCAGAGCCUUCUGGAGCCUCCAUGGGCUGUAAAUCUCUUCCAAAAUCUGUAGUCUGAUAUUAUUCCACCUGUGUUUUAAUAGGUGCUGCACCUUCCCAGGUGUUCUGGGUUAUUGGCAAUGAGAAAGAACAUCAGGAGAAGGGCAUGGAGAAGAGAGAAAAAGAGGUUGUACUAGCUGCACCCAUCCUGGGAACCUGAUGUUUUGAGGAACUGGAAAGCUGACCACUUCUCUAGGCACCAAGUGCUCAUGGGGGCUCUUUAAUUUUUUAGUGGAAGGAGUGGAGAGGAAUGUUGGAGAGAGAUGGGAAGACUGGGGUUGACAAGGAAACUGAGGCCCAGAGGAGGAAUUACUCAGUUGGUUUUGUGGAAUCUGUGUUUUUGAAAAGUACAGAAGUGGUGGAAAGCAAGGAGAAUAAAGGGAAAGGAAGAGAGAAACGGUUUGGAGUCAAAGGGCAUGGUCCCGGGGACCUCCUCGUCCCCUUUCUGCUUGUGUGGUACUAACCACGACAGCCGGAAGAAACACAGCAAGAAAGAGCAAAAGAGACUCCACUAAAUACUUGACUCCUUCAAGCCAAGGGACUUUGAAAUUAAAUAUGGAACAAGGUUAAUGAGAAGAAGAUAAUAUAAAUAUCCCCACCUCAACCAAGCACCUCCUGGAUCCUAUUGCAAUGGAAACGAAGUCCACUCUCUUUAGCUUUGUCUAGCUCCUGGUCCUCAAAAGGCUGAAUAGAAGUGAUCCCCCUUUUGAAGACUGCCACCUAGAAUCACAUAUACUCUUAUGUUCCUCCCUUGUUGCCACCGCUCUGAUUGUACAGAUCUUAUUGAGUAUUGAUGCCCUUGGAGUAGACUUUUCUUUCUCUGGAGUUGUCAUCACGGGCAACAUUCAAUCGGCUCCACCUAAGGACUCCUCACUGGGCUGUCUCCUUAAGAAUUUGAGAACUUUGGAACUCACUGACCUCUGUCCGACCUAAAUGCUUAGUCUUCUAUUGCAGUACAGCCUGGCCACAAGAAAUUUUUAUGAAGGGACAGCACGUAUUUUCUCCAUGGUUCCUUGAGCAGCUUGGCAGCCGUCCAAAACCUGCGGCAUAAGAAGAAUCGACAGAAAGAUCAAUGGAGAGAUUAUGUGUGCAAUAGGCCUCUCAUCCACCAGGGUUUUACUUUCUACCGUUUCAAUUACCUGCAAUCAACCGUGGCCCGAAAAUAAAAAAGAAACUGAGCUCCAGAGAGGUUGAAGGAGAGCUGGGAUGUAUCAUGGAGCACACAGCCAAUUCCAGGGAUCUCUGGCUAUGGAAUCUUUCUUUUAAAUAUAUCGUUCCUCAGAUAUCUAGUUGAUAGUCACUCAAUUCAUAGCUGUCCUGAAGGAUGAAGGCUGUUAUCCUAUCUCUCCAGUUUAUUUCCUAUGUGUCCUUGGGCAUGUUAUUUAUUCUUUGGCCUUGGUUUCCUUAUUAGUCAAAUUGUACUAGAGAAUGGCCUGGAAAAAAAAAAAAGAUUUUCUGUCUCUUUAAAACUUCCCCCACUAUUUUUGGGAACAGCAGCCUGGCCUGCACCCCUGAGGCAGGUUAAGCCUUUUGUUAAAACUCCCAGGUGGCCCCAGCCACCCCAGGUGGCUGGCUGGUGGAGUUCAUAGGCUUUGUCUUUGGCUGAGAUGGGUUAAUUAGAAUAGUUAAUCACAGUAAUUGCCUGAAGCUGAGAACCCUCCCUUUAAAAGCUCUGUAUUUCUGCCUAGAUUCAGGAAAUUUGGGAUUUUGAGAUGAGAAGGUCUACUAUUUUUCCACCUUUGCAAAGUAAACUCUAUUUACUUCCUCCCCAAACUGCUUGUUCUUGUACUUCUGAUUCAGCCUCAUAGACAAGUGGUCUAGUUUUUGUUGACAAAAUGUAGAGAGUUUAACUAUUAACAUAUGGUUUUUAAGAUUCCCCUAAUCAUCGUAUUAGUGAGUCUAUAGUUAAUAUGAAUUAUUUGGGUAGCCUGGAUCAUUUGAGAACAGCAGUGGCUGUUGUGAUCUAUUUUAUAGCUCAACAUUUUAGAAAGGUGAGUUGCUUCACAAUAAUGCAGGGCAUGGAAAUGUGGUAGAACAUACCCUAGAUGAGUCAUCUGGUGACUUUCUGGAAGAAGGUCAGAAGAUUUGGGUUGUCUUAGUCUGUUUGGGCAUUUAUAACAAAAUACCAUAGACUGGCUGCUUAUAAACAGCAGAACUGUAUGUCUUAUAGUUCUGGAAGCUGGGAAAACCAAGAUUAGGUCACGGACAGAUUUGAGGUCUGGUGAGGGCCCAUUUCCUGGUUCACAAAUGGCACAAACGGCACAUUGUCACUGUGCCCACACCUGGUGGAAGGGGAGAACUCUGAUCUCCUACUCUGGUCUCUUCAGCCUCUUGUAAGGACAGUAAUCCCAUUCAUGAAGGCUCCUAAUACCAUCACAUUGGGGAUUAGGUUUCAACACAGGAGUUUUUGAGGGACACAAGCAUUCACAUCAUAGCAGGUUUGACCACAUAUAAGCUAUAUAAACUUCAUCAGACUCCAUAGCAUGUCUGAGUUUUGGUUUUCUCAUCUGAAACAUAACAGCAUGUAUCUCAUACUCAAAGUCUUUGGAUUGAAAGAAACAAUGGACAGUAUAUUAAAGCCUUUUAUAGGCAAGGCCAUGAUUAUUAGUAGAGUUAUUGAAAGAAUAUUGACAAUAAAUGCCCAAGUGAGGAGUAAAAAGUGGACAAUCAACAUGCCAGUCACAGUGACCCCCGAAGCACCAUAUUAUUUGCCUGACACUAUAAGGGCAAAAGAGCGUCAAUAGUUUCUGCUCUCCUCUUUAGGUUUUGAGAUCCUUUUUGAUGGCUCCCCUGAUUCUCUUGCGACCCUUCCCCACAAGAGGCAGAGAGCUGGGUUACUGUCGAGGACUCUAGAAAGGCCCCUAUGGUCUCUUUGCCACGCUGCACCGAGGCUGAUCAGCUCCUUGGAGUGCCUUAUCUGUGAGAGAGUGUGUGGACUUCAAGGUGCUGGUUCCUGCUCAUCUUCACAGCACAACCACCUAGUCCUGUGUAUGGCACAAAGUCAGUUUUCAACAAAUGCUUAUCGAUAGACUGCAAGCCCUUGACAGCUAUUUAGGCAUGUGACACAAUUAAGGGUACAUUUAGAUAUUAAUGAUAUGGGAAAAGCUCCUGCCCUGGGGCCCUGAGGUAAAAUCCAUUGCUGAUUGGAUGCAUGUGAAGGUUACGGCUGAUCCUACUAAUCCCACCGUUAAUUGGAUAUUGGUUGUGUGUAACCCCAAGAAGUGUAUAAAACUGGAGAGAAAUAAGGAAGUGGUGCUCAGAAUUUGGCCCCUCUGAGCCCGCCGGGGAAAUAAAAGCUGAUUCUCCAACCCUCUGUGUGCCACUCGAUUCUUUCCCUGGUCAAUCGCCGGUCACUUGCUGCUACAUUAACACUAGUCAUUAUAAUAAAAACAACAGCAACAAGAGUAACAAUAGCUACUGCUUAUGGAGACCAAGGCAGUC